UACAGAGGUCUCAAGCGUUGUUCGGAUUCACUGGGCUUAAAGGGCGCGUAGGCGGACGGUCAAGUCGGGGGUGAAAUCUCUCGGCUCAACCGAGAAACGUCGGCCGAUACUGCCGUUCUUGAGGGAUGCAGAGGAGACUGGAAUUCCCGGUGUAGCGGUGAAAUGUGUAGAGAUCGGGAGGAACACCGGUGGCGAAGGCGGGUCUCUGGGCAUUUCCUGACGCUGAGGCGCGAAAGCGUGGGGAGCAAACGGG
rnacentral:rRNA from 1 species